rnacentral:rRNA from 1 species
AGUGAACGCUGGCGGUAGGCCUAACACAUGCAAGUCGAACGGCAGCACAGUAAGAGCUUGCUCUUACGGGUGGCGAGUGGCGGACGGGUGAGGAAUACAUCGGAAUCUACUUUUUCGUGGGGGAUAACGUAGGGAAACUUACGCUAAUACCGCAUACGACCUACGGGUGAAAGCAGGGGAUCUUCGGACCUUGCGCGAUUGAAUGAGCCGAUGUCGGAUUAGCUAGUUGGCGGGGUAAAGGCCCACCAAGGCGACGAUCCGUAGCUGGUCUGAGAGGAUGGACCAGCAACAUGGGAACGGAGCCCCGGCCCAGCCCCCCCGGGGAGCCACCGGGGGGGAUUUUUGGCAAAGGGCCACAAGCUUGACCCACCCAUCCCGGGGGGGGAAAGAGGGCUUUGGGUUUUAAAAGCCUUUUGGUGGGAAAAAAAAAGAAGCAGUUUACUCCCCCCCUGUCUUGAGGGUCCCAAAAAAAAAGGACCGGCCAACUUUGGUC